GAUGAACGCUGGCGGCGUGCCUAAUACAUGCAAGUCGAGCGAACGGACGAGAAGCUUGCUUCUCUGAUGUUAGCGGCGGACGGGUGAGUAACACGUGGAUAACCUACCUAUAAGACUGGGAUAACUUCGGGAAACCGGAGCUAAUACCGGAUAAUAUUUUGAACCGCAUGGUUCAAAAGUGAAAGACGGUCUUGCUGUCACUUAUAGAUGGAUCCGCGCUGCAUUAGCUAGUUGGUAAGGUAACGGCUUACCAAGGCAACGAUGCAUAGCCGACCUGAGAGGGGGAUCGGCCAAACGGGAACUGAGACACGGUCCAGACUCCUACGGGAGGCAGCAGUAGGGAAUCUUCCGCAAUGGGCGAAAGCCUGACGGAGCAACGCCGCGUGAGUGAUGAAGGUCUUCGGAUCGUAAAACUCUGUUAUUAGGGAAGAACAUAUGUGUAAGUAACUGUGCACAUCUUGACGGUACCUAAUCAGAAAGCCACGGCUAACUACGUG
rnacentral:rRNA from 1 species